rnacentral:lncRNA from 1 species
GGAAACGCUACCUGAUAAAGCCCUGGAACCAAAGACCACCAGGAAUACGUCUGUAAUUAAACAAAUUUGAUUCAUUACCUCACUGCGGCAAAGAAGGACGUACCAGAGGAAACGUGAAGCAUCUUGUUGCAUUUGUAAUCAAGGAUGGAGUCAACCAAUGCCGCUUGAGCAGACAUACCAGCAUAACCUCAAAAAUAGUAAGAAACACUAACCAAAUGAGAGUUUUGUUUAAAUUAAAAAUUAAGGACGUUGACUCUAAUAGAGGCUACAACUACAAGAUGAAAAACCUGACGCUCAGAAUGAUGGAUUAUUACCAAAAGGUGGAGACAGAAAAUAUAUAAAUAUUGAAGAUGAUUUCAGAUGGCAAAAAGCACAGUAAAGAACGUUAGAGAUUGGAUAGGCUGGAGGACUCCUCGUGAAGAUGACAUACGAGGUUUCUCCAUAGGAAGACAAGGAAGAGAUAUUAGUCACAACAAAUGUUUUCCUGUAUGUUUUCUGUGAAUAAUAUAGAAUUGCUAUCCAGCAAACGUGACUACCUACAACUUACCAGGUUAACCUCCUUACACUCUGGACCACCAAGGAAGUCUGUCUCCUGAAAACACCUCUGCAUGUCUUGGAAGCACAAAUAAGGAAGAUUCGUUUUUUUGAGGAAGAUUAGCCUUGAGCUAACAUCUGCUGCCAAUCCUCCUCUUCUCACUGAGGAAGACUGGCCCUGAGCUCACAUCCGUGCCCAUGUUCCUCUACUUUCUACGUGGGACGCCUACCACAGCGUGGCUUGCCAAGUGGUGCCAUGUCCGCACCCGGGAUCCAAACUGGUGAACCCUGGGCCUCUGAAGUGGACCGUGCACAUUUAACCGCUGGCCACCAGGCCAGACCCGUUGUCAACAGAUUCUAAUGAAAGCAAGAUUGCAAAACACCUUGAUAAAACAUGGUCAUCCAUUCCAUAGUAAAAUGUUUCUUUUUUGCUGCUAAUCUAUUUUAAAAAACAGAAUUUUAAGUAAGCACUUUAUUUUUCUUUUGUCUUUUAAGUUACAGAACAAAUUAUGUAUUUGAAAGAGUAAAAUUUGUAUACUUCUAGUAUUAAUG